UACGUAGGGUGCAAGCGUUGUCCGGAAUUAUUGGGCGUAAAGAGCUCGUAGGCGGCUUGUCACGUCGGCUGUGAAAACCCGAGGCUCAACCUCGGGCCUGCAGUGGGUACGGGCAGACUAGAGUGCGGUAGGGGAGAUUGGAAUUCCUGGUGUAGCGGUGGAAUGCGCAGAUAUCAGGAGGAACACCAAUGGCGAAGGCAGAUCUCUGGGCCGUAACUGACGCUGAGGAGCGAAAGCAUGGGGAGCGAACAGG
rnacentral:rRNA from 1 species